CGUGUAGGCGGCUUGGUAAGUCAGAUGUGAAAGCCCUGGGCUCAACCCGGGAAGUGCAUUUGAAACUGUCAGGCUCGAGUAGGGGAGAGGGAAGUGGAAUUCCUGGUGUAGAGGUGAAAUUCGUAGAUAUCAGGAGGAACACCGGUGGCGAAGGCGACUUCCUGGCCCUAUACUGACGCUGAGACGCGAGAGCGUGGGUAGCAAACAG
rnacentral:rRNA from 1 species